UACGUAGGGUGCGAGCGUUGUCCGGAAUUAUUGGGCGUAAAGAGCUCGUAGGCGGUCUGUCGCGUCGAUCGUGAAAACUUGGGGCUUAACCCUGAGCUUGCGGUCGAUACGGGCAUGACUGGAGUUCGGCAGGGGGAGACUGGAAUUCCUGGUGUAGCGGUGAAAUGCGCAGAUAUCAGGAGAACACCGGUGGCGAAGGCGGGUCUCUGGGCCGAUACUGACGCUGAGGAGCGAAAGCGUGGGGAGCGAACAGG
rnacentral:rRNA from 1 species